GCCUGGCAAUGAGGGUUUUGUGAUCUCUAUCAGGGAACACAAGACUAACAAGUCCUUUGGGGUGGCCCAAAUGUUCUUAGAGACUGACGAGUUUCGAUGGCUGGAGAGGUGGCUGCAGCUGCGGGUGGCCAGCAAGCCACCGAACCAGCUGGUCUUCUUCACGGCUGGGAAGGGCCCAUGCUAAAACUUCUUGCACCACCUGCAGGUAGCGUGGGCGGAGAUCCGCCUUAAAGGGUCCCCCAACUUCACUGACCUGAGGACUGCUGUGUCUGCUCAUGUCAAGAACAACCUUCUGUCGGGCAGCAGAAGAUGGUGGCCACCUUUUAUGUGCCACAACAUGGCCACCGCUGACUGCUUCUACGCCCUCAGCCUGAACGUGGUCCAGUCAAAGAGGAUGAGGGAGCAUUUCCGCUAGACCUUCACCCACACCGUGCCAUCACCGGAGUCACCAGAAGCCUCCUCCU